UCGUUUUUCCAUUUUCGGACUUCCGAGAAUAGGAGUCCCGGUUCUACUUACUAUAUUUGGACAAUCUAAUUACCCUUCCCCUUCUCACUUAUUUGCAUCUCUACCAUAAAAAAGAACACCCCCUACCCCGUCUAACUCACUCUCAUUCUCACUCUAUCUCUCUCUCGCUCUCAACCCCUCGGAACCCUAAUUCACCGCCACCGCCGCCGCCGCCUCCGACAAAAGGCCUCCCAACCGCCGCCUCCUCCCCCUCCCCACUCUCAGGAACCCUAGCCCCUAAUCGCCGGCCGCCUCCACCAACCUCCACUGUCUCCUGCCCAAACACAUUCUAGAACAGCUGUCCUCUAACCUUAAUCCUCUUCAUCUUUCCCCUGCCCUUUGGCCUCCUGCGGAGUUUUUUCUAGACUAAUUAUGUUUCCCUUAUUAAAUCUAUUUGGAUUGGUCAACACAGGCGAAGGCGGCGACUGUGGGUGUGGGGCGACCUUCAGAAUACGGGUAGUGAAAAUCACGAAGAGGGCUCUGCUUUAAUUUUGCAAAGUUUGUUCUUGAAAAUUUGUUCUUAUGGCCUCUCAGGGAAGGAAUAAUUGAAUUGGAGUGUGAAUUUCACCGUGUGUGUUGAUUUCUUUUGCUUUCGAUUCACAACAGAAUUGGAGCGUGGAUUUCUCUUUGUCUUGGCGUUUAAUCCUCCAUAUUGAUUUGUAUGUGAGCAAUUACCGUGAAUUGUUUCAUUUAAUUCUCUAGAUAUGUGAGCAAAUUUAGUGUGAGUUGUUCAUUUAAUUCUCCAAAUUUGUAUUUAAAAGCAGAAAUAAAAUCAGAUCAUUGAUGUAUAAAAGCUAAAUUUAUAAA